rnacentral:rRNA from 1 species
GACGAACGCUGGCGGCGUGCUUAACACAUGCAAGUCGAACGGAAAGGCCCUGCUUUUGUGGGGUGCUCGAGUGGCGAACGGGUGAGUAACACGUGAGUAACCUGCCCUUGACUGUGGGAUAACUUCAGGAAACUGGGGCUAAUACCGGAUAGGAGCUCCUGCUGCAUGGUGGGGGUUGGAGAGUUUCGGCGGUUGGGGAUGGACUCGCGGCUUAUCAGCUUGUUGGUGGGGUAGUGGCUUACCAAGGCUUUGACGGGUAGCAGGCCUGAGAGGGUGACCGGCCACAUUGGGACUGAGAUACGGCCCAGACGACUACGGGAGGCAGCAGUGGGGAAUAUUGCACCAUGGGCGGAAGCAGGAUGCAGCAACGCCGCGGGGGGGAUGAAGGCCUUCGGGUUGUAAACCGCUUUCGCCUGUGACGAAGCGUGAGUGACGGUAAUUGGUAAAGAAGCACCGGCUAACUACGUG